rnacentral:lncRNA from 1 species
GUCCGGUCUGAGACAUUCCAGAUGAUUCUGCUAUGCAUGUUUCCGGGAGGAAAUUUGGACAAUCACUGAUGGUUGUGUCUGAGCUACCAAAGGAAAGACAGCAGAAGCUGUUUAUUUUCCAUCUCCCUGAUUUCCGUUUUCUGUUCAAGAGUCUGUGGAAGAGCAACUCAAGAGCAGUCAGUGGUUCUUCCUACCCAUUCAGCGGCCUGUGCAGUGGGAGCUGCGGCCCAGUCUUCGGUGGCAGGCUGAGGGCUCCAUCCUCAGUAGGAAAUGGCUGGACGGGCACAGAGGGGACCAGCAUGCCUUCAGACAGCGUGGGGCCUCGGGGGAUGGUGGUGUCCACAUAGCAGAGGAGAGUGUGUCACACAGAGCAGUGGCGGGCAGGUUAACACAAGAGGCCUCUGUGAGAGGCUGGCGGUCAGCCCUGGGGUCAGUUGCCACCAGAAGUCACGGCUCCUGGAAGGCCGCCUGGAUCUGGUUAGUGAAGGUUCCAGCAGAGAAGCAGCUGGCAGUGGGAGAGGCUCCAGCGGCAGCAGCAAACUUGAGCACAGCUCACCGAUGUGCUGUUCCAUUUGGAAGUCAAGGCGGCUGCCACCUGAGUGGGCUCCUCCUGUGCGGAAGGGGAGGACAUCCUCCUCCGCCGUUUGUGGGACACCCAGGGCUCUGGACACUGUGAGUUUCCCUUCAAGUUAUGGUGGGAACCCAGACCAACACUGUAUGGACCCCCCCUGGCUAGUGUGGAAAGCACUUUUAAUUUUUUGA